UGCCCGGUAGCUAAAUGCGGAAGAGAUAAGUGCUGAAAGCAUCUAAGCACGAAACUUGCCCCGAGAUGAGUUCUCCCUGACUCCUUGAGAGUCCUGAAGGAACGUUGAAGACGACGACGUUGAUAGGCCGGGUGUGUAAGCGCAGCGAUGCGUUGAGCUAACCGGUACUAAUGAACCGUGAGGCUUAACCUU
rnacentral:rRNA from 2 species